rnacentral:lncRNA from 10 species
CAGGGGGAUGGACUUCCCCCUUGCUCUUCCUGUGAUAGAGUUCUCGUGAGAUCUGCUUGUUUAAAAGUGUAGCACCUCUCCACAGCCCUCUCCAACCGGCCAUGUGAAUAUGUACUUGCUUACCCUUUGCCUUCCACCAUGACUGUAAGUUUCCUGAGGCCUUCCAAGAAACAGAAGCCUCUACAGCCUGCAGAACCACCCAGUCUCAGAAAAGAAUUUUGAGUAUACUGGCUUGCAUCUGAUCCUCCCCUUGUGGCCAGAGCAUUGUAGUAUCAAGACAAUUAGUCCCUAAUGAAACAACAAGAAAUCUCAAGAUAGGCAGAAGCCAACCAAGCCAUCUGCUAUGGAAGCUGAAGAAGGCUGGAUAAUCCCUUCCUUUUGGCAACAUGUUUACUGAGCUCAACAGCCAUGUGCCUUCCCUCUCUCCCACCACUAACGACUUUGAAUCUUGAAUAAAUGAAGCAAAAGCGCAAUGACAUUUAGAGAUUUUUGAUAGCAGAAUCGACAGAGUGGAGUGUCUAAUAACACAGUACCAAGUGUGCCAGUGAAAUGGAAUCCAGCAGGACAGUGGCAGCAGUCCAGACAUAGUGGCUACAGUGGACAAGGCCGUGAGCGUCCUGUCAGAUAGCAGCAGUGCUCUGAGGUGGAUAAUUAUGGAAGUUCUGUGGCUCUCUUGAUUUUUAUUUAAUUCUUACUGAGCUUGAUUUUCAGCAACCUUUUCCAUGUUUGGAGCAAUUGAGUUCUCUGCCAAUAAAUUUCAUUUCUGUUUAAAUUAAUGAGUUAUAAUCAUAUUCAAGUAAGAAUUGUGACCUAUUCAGAAUUAUAUGAGAUAAAUCAGUACUGGGGCAAGAGGAGAACAUGGAAAUCCAGCAGCCCUUGCUAUGUAUUUUUCCAGCAAUUAAUAAAUGUCACCUGAAAUAAAGUUUUCAUUAAAGGUCAGUCUUAUGGAAUCAAUGUCAACCAGUUCUACACAGCACAUAUGUCUCAAGGGCAUGGAAAACAUUGGAAAGUGUGAAAGCAAUGGAUAGCUGAAGGGAAGAAAAUGACAAUCUAAGGGCCAUCAUUUCUCAACUGAAGUGAUCUGAAGCCUUGCAAUAGUAUUGCUUUAGAGGAUUUCUGCUUUAGAAUAUCUCUUUACUGAGGCAAAUUAAUGCAAUUUCUCGUACUUGAUGUGCAACUUAAUCUGACAAAUGGGCUUCCUAUAUAUCAAUAAACAGAGAACACAGGAAGCAAAUGCUACAAUCACA